rnacentral:rRNA from 1 species
ACGGAGGGUGCAAGCGUUGUUCGGAAUUACUGGGCGUAAAGGGCGCGUAGGCGGUUCUGUAAGUCAGAUGUGAAAGCCUCCGGCUUAACCCGAGAACUGCAUUUGAUACUGCGUGACUUGAGUACUGUAGAGGAAGACGGAAUUCCUGGUGUAGAGGUGAAAUUCGUAGAGAUCAGGAGGAACACCAGUGGCGAAGGCGGUUUUCUGGGCGGUAACUGACGCUGAGGCGCGAAAGCGUGGGGAGCAAACAG